rnacentral:rRNA from 1 species
AUUCCAGCUCCAAUAGCGUAUAUUUAAGUUGUUGCAGUUAAAAAGCUCGUAGUUGGAUUUUGGUUAAGAGGGCGCGGUCGGCCGUUUGGUCUGUACUGCGUUGUCUUGACUUCCUGAUGAGGACAUGCUCUUGGUUAACGCUGAGACAUGGAGUCAUCGUGGUUACUUUGAAAAAAUUAGAGUGUUCAAAGCGGGCUUACGCUUGAAUAUAUUAGCAUGGAAUAACACUAUAGGACUCCUGUCCUAUCUCGUUGGUCUCGGGAUGGGAGUAAUGAUUAAGAGGAACAGUUGGGGGCAUUCGUAUUUCAUUGUCAGAGGUGAAAUUCUUGGAUUUAUGAAAGACGAACUUCUGCGAAAGCAUUUGCCAAGGAUGUUUUCAUUA